CGCGAUAUCUUUAAUAUAAUGUCAGCGAUUCUCGCGAGGUUUCCACACAGCCAAUCGCUGUUGGGAAUCAGUGUCACGUGUACCAUCGUAGCCUAUGUGCUAGGUGUAUUAGCAGGAGCCGGGAGGUAUGAAACAUUAGGACGCGUUGGGAGGAGCCGAGCUGCAGGUUAGUUGAGCGUUGUGUCAUUCAUCAUUCACCUUAAAUCUCUAUUUGUGUGAGAUAAAACUGCGGAAUUGGCCAGGUGCGAUGGCGAGCUAGAGCCCAAGAAAAGAUUGCACUUUUGGUGCUGGAAGACUUCUGCUUCUCCUGCCAGGCUGGUAGGAGGCUCCUUACAGCUAAUGAACAAUUUUGUCCCCACUCUGAUCUGACUUUAGUCAGCUGAUGACCUGCACUGUACCAAGCACUUUAACUGUAAUCUGCUUGGGACCUCUAAUCAACCCCAGCUUGGAGGUACAGUAGAUGAACUGAAGGGUGUGGGUCCAUUUAUGUUGGAACUGUGGGAUUGAUUUUGGUUUUUGUUUAUUGUUUUGUUUUUUUUGCGCAUUUUUAUAUGGCCAUUUGGAUGUUUCCACUGUUGUAAAUAUAUAUAUAAUUGUUUCACACUAUAAAUACAAGGCACUCGCAACUGCAAA